rnacentral:lncRNA from 10 species
AAAAGCAGUAGAGCCUCUACGUGCCUUCUGCCUUCAGUCACUUGCAGAAGAUUUCUUGUGGCCCAUGCUCAUCGGAAGCCAUGCUGUCAGGUGUAUUCUGGGAAAUACAGUGCCAGCUUCGCCAAAUUCACACAAAACAAAUACACCAAGAGGAGUUAUACAGACUUAUAGGAUUCUAGACAUGGAAAGAACCUAAUACUCCACAGUCAGAGGUGAGGAAACUGAAGCCAGAGAACACAAAACAAGGAUUAUUCUCUAAUGGAAGUGUCUAUAUCCCUGGUCUACUUAAAAUCAUCAUGAGCAUAUGUAGUUUUAGUUUAAAGAAAUUUUAAUUAGUUUAAAUAAACAUAUUGUACAAUAUGUAAACAUGUGAGUAUCAAAGUGCGAUAAGAGUAGUAUACGGUUAAUAUAUUCAAAGCAGAUGCUUGUUACUUAAUGGCACAUACAGCAAAGACGUUUACUGAGAACUUUUUUUUUUGACGUAGUUUCACUCUGUCACCCAGGCUGGAGUGCAGUGGCGCGAUCUCCGCUCACCACAAGCUCCACCUCCUGGGUUCACGCCAUUCUCCUGCCUCAGGCGCCCGCCAACAUGCUCUGCUAAAUUUUUUUGUAUUUUUAGUAGAGACGGGGUUUCACCGUAUUAGCCAGGAUGAUCUCAAUCUCCUGACCUCGUGAUUCGCCCACUCGGCCUCCCAAAGUGCUGGGAUUACAGGCGUGAGCUACCACGCCCAGCCGAAAACUUUUUUUAAAAGAGUUGGGUCAGUUGCCAAAAUUGGAAGGAGAGGUUUGUGCAGGUACACGAGAAAGUUUUGACUAAUCUGCCAUGGUCCCCAUUUCCACAGUUGAUCCCACACAUCAUCCUUUUGGGACUGAAUUGAGUGACCCCAAGACCUGGCCUUCUUGUCUGUUUCCUCCCACAGGCCUGUGAGACUGGUUGGCCCCUAAGAAAGGUGAUGUGGUGCCAGCCCUGAAGGAGGAUCACCCCAAUUCAUUUCCCUCUCACU